rnacentral:ncRNA from 2 species
UACUUAUCAAGAGUGGCGGAGGGACUGACCCGAUGAAGCCCGGCAACCUGUUUUAAACAAGGUGCUAAUUUCAGCAGAACGAUUUGUUCUGGUAGAUAAGUU